GCAGUGGGGAAUUUUGGACAAUGGGCAAAGCCUGAUGCAGCCAUGCCGCGUGUAUGAAGAAGGCCUUCGGGUUGUUAAAGUACUUUCAGCAGUGAGGAAGGUGGGUAUGUUAAUAGCAUACUCAUUUGACGUUAGCUGCAGAAGAAGCACCGGCUAACUCCGUGCCAGCAGCCGCGGUAAUACGGAGGGUGCGAGCGUUAAUCGGAAUUACUGGGCGUAAAGCGCAUGCAGGUGGUUUGUUAAGUCAGAUGUGAAAGCCCGGGGCUCAACCUCGGAAUUGCAUUUGAAACUGGCAAACUAGAGUACUGUAGAGGGGGUAGGAAUUUCAGGUGUAGCGGUGAAAUGCGUAGAGAUCUGAAGGAAUACCGGUGGCGAAGGCGGCCCCCCUGGACAGAUACUGACACUCAGAUGCGAAAGCGUGGGGAGCAAACAGGAUUAGAUACCCCUGGUAG
rnacentral:rRNA from 1 species